CCAGUGGAAGCUGGCACAGGAGGUAGCAGAGAGGCUGGGGCCUCGAAUAACAUUGACAGAACUGCUGUCUCAGGAGGAGAAUCUCUCGUUGUCCGCUACUCUGCAGAUGUUCUUUAACCUAAAGAAACACCACCUGUGACCUGAAGAGGAUGACAGCCCUGCCAUCGCAGAGAUGAAGGAGACGCUGAUCGCGGAGAUCGACAGCAGAUGGCAGCUGAGAGGUUUGGAUCCCACCAGCCUUCACCUCCUCUGCACUGGACCAGUGUUGCAAACAGCUGAGAUUCCUCGACAACGGGAAGAAGGAUCUUCUCUACAUUGAGGUUGUGCGCCUGGCUGAGCAUCUGCACCAGCGGCAUGCGGUUCGGGAGGCGGAAAAGGAGCCAAAAGAAAGGCAUGGCGAGGAUAUCGCUGCUGUGCCACCGCCAAAAAAAAUAAAACAGCAGGAGACAUCCAUGCGAAUGCUGUCGGACUCCAAUGAUGAACACCCUGAGAAACAGGAUCAAAGUGCCAAGCGAGAGAUAGGACAGUCUGGCCUGCUUGGAUGGUGGAAACAGAAGUGUGACCGCUAUCCUAAACUGGCCACCGUCGGAGCCAGGUCCAACCAAGAGUUCACUGUUGCUCAAAAUGUUGACAAACUCAUCUUCUUGGCACAUAAUAUGAAGAGAGUGUUGGUGGGCUAGUGAAAUGUCUGUCUGAAAGGUAUGUUAGGUAAAUUUGUAAUUCUGUAAAUUUUUAUUUAAUUUGUAUUUGAGUUUGUUUAAAGGCCUUUUGCUGUGUGAAUAAUAAAUGAAUAAUAUAAAUAAAUAAUGUUCUGUCAUUACACCCCCAUAUACAUAUAUGUACAUAUAUCACACACACUAUAUAUAGUAGCAUCUAUAGGGUUCUGACUAACUGAAACAUGAAAUUUAUUUUAGUUUUUCUAAUUAAAGAAAUGCUGAAAUGAA